CAACUCGCGUAUCGUUGCUUUACUAGUGCGCUCAGUGCUUCUCACUCCCUCCAGCCUCCUCCUCUCUCCGUUCCAACGCUGGUGCGUGUUUUGCAUAGAGCUACCGCUUUUCUCUCCUCCUGCACAUUUUUGUUGUUGUUGACUAUUGUUAUUUAUUUGUGUUUGUGCGUUCUUUGUGUGUUUCUGCGCAUACCCCUCUCGUUGGUGAUUAGCGUGUCUGCCCCCGAGUUUGAAAGUGGGUAGUCUUGGUCUACAGACACAGUGGCAAGCUUGUUGCACGUGGCACUGUGGACGUGUCUGUGUUUGUCAGCCGUCUUAUUCGCCUCGACUACAGCAACGGGGCGUUUGCGCUCUUCCGUCCGCGUCCUCUUUCCAUCCCUCCCGCCCUCCUCCUCAUCUCGCGUUCUUUUUUUCCCUUCUCUGACCGUCAAGUGUUGUCGUCUUUCACCCGAUCUCGUCGAAUCGUUGGCGCUGAGCUGCCCGCUCUCUUCGCCUUUAGACAGUCGCUCUCGUUUUUUUGCUUCUCUUCUGGUCGUGGAAGUAGCAAUACGCAGGAGCGAAAAAAGGGAAGAAAGUGCCGACGUCCUCAACACGCAGGGGCGUACCACUCUCCGAUUUUUUCUCCUCUUUCGUCACAAGUUUGAUAGCCGUCACGGCGCUCGUUUUCUCUCGCUGAUUAGCCGCACAGAUGUAAGAAAAGCGGUGAUCAUUGUGUGUUUCAGGAAAGUGAUCCAGCCCCUGCUUGCCGCUGUCUUGUGCGCGCCAGUGCACGUGUGUUUUAUACGCUAUCAUCUCUUGUCUUCCCUCUCUGAUUGGCCUUUGUUCUUUUCUCCAAAGUCUAAGGUGACGGAGAGCAUUCGACGGAAAACAAAAAAGAAGAAUCUUUUUUUUUCGCGCUCCUUAGCCUGGCGCGGCGUGUGUGUGUGUGUGUGUGUGUGGGCACCGCUUGAAGGAGGUGGAACACUGGGCUAGUCUUUCUUGUUUGUUUUCAUUUGUGUACCUUUCAUGAACGAGGCAGCGCCCUUUUGUGUGGCUCCGCAGACGUGGCAGGGCGGCCUCGCUCGCUACCCUGCUAGUCAGUCGCAUGUCUGGAACAACAACAUAAUUCUUCAGCCGGAAGACAUUGAUUUGGAAGUGUUCAAUGCCAUGUGCCAAGUGGAGAAUCAAUACAACAAGAACGAAAUCAGCGUCGAGGACUUCGAGAUGCUCCAGCUGACGUUCUGUCUCUUCACGGUGAACCAGUCAUGCUACGACUUGAUCCCGAACGGGCGUGAAAUCCGUGUUACGCAGGCGAACGCCUUCGAGUUCUUCCAGCGUGUUCACGCUGCCUACGAUAAUCUGAAGCAGAGGCCGGCUUUGAACCAACCAACCCAGUCGAGCCCUCGCCCGCGACUCCGCACAUCAGGAGCGCGGUUGCGCCUCACCGGUCAAGACACAGACAGCCUAGAGUGGAUUCGGUGGACUGCGCAGAACGACCCAGCUGCGCUUGCCUUUCAUCCAGACGAACCGCUACGCUGGGCAGUCGUACCGCGCGGUCGCGACUUUAUGAUUCGCGUGCAGCCAGAGGGAGAGAACACGUUUGUCGACCCGAACCACCUCACCCUCUUUCUCGACAUGCUGGCCGUCUUGCUGACCGAGAUCGAGCGCGCCAUCUCCGUGUUCGGCUACUACCCGCCCAACUGCGUAUCAGCCGCCCCCGUCGAGUGCGCUGACGAGUAUUCUAUUUGCACCUCACACUCGACUCGCGCGACUCGCUUACCCUUUCCGUCGCAGCGCGUCAACAGCCGUGGGCGCUCGGCAUUGCACAAGUUCGCGAUGUCAGUCACCGCAGCAGCAGCAGCCACGGAGCAGAAUCGCAGGACCGUAUGCCGUGCCUCAUCGGCAGACCUAGAGAAUCAGCGUGCACUCUUCUCCCCCACUCACGACACCGGCGGCCUGCUAGCGCCUUUCCAAGAAUGGAACGUGUAGCAGUGUGGCAGAGUAGCACGCGCUGCAGAGCAUGGAGUGAAAGAGUCACUUUGAGCUACUCAUUGAGCUGCGUCUAUGAGGGCAGGCGGGGGGGGGGAGGUGUCUUCUAUGGCGAUCCUCACCUAUCUUCCUCCCCCUUCCCCUUCUUCCUGAUGACCAUGCAGCGUUACUACGCCUUCUGCUUCUCUUUCUUGCUUUUGCAUUGCCCUCUCUCGGCCUGUGUGCUUGUUUUGUUCUCUUUCAGCUCCCCCUUUUCUCCCGUUUUUGUUUCUGCACACACACCUGUUUCUGUGUGUGUGUGUGUGUGUGCAUGUGUGUGUGCGUGUGCGUGCAGGUGUGUUUCUUCGAGCCUUCAUGUUGUUGUUCAUUUCCUUUGCAUGUAUCUCUGCUACCGCCUUCUUUUCCGUUCUUGGCACUUCUUUUUUUUUCUGUGGUGUGUGUUCUGCGGCUCCUUGUGCUUUUGCCUCUCCUCUCGCCACGUCAUUAGAUUCACUUGUCUUCUUUGUCACCACUCCGAGUGGCUCCCUCAACUUACCUUGUCCCUCAAACAACCGCCAUCACAACAUCUUCUGAGCUCCUUUGGUAUUCUCGCUCUUCUUAUACACAGGAAAGAAACGCAGAUCUCGAAGGGUUGGGGGUGGGGUGGUAAGGGAGCGGGAUUAGGCUGUGUUGUUGUUUUCGUGCUUCUGUAAGCCUCUGCUCUCUCCCCCCCCCUCUAUCGCCUUCUCCCUCCCUUCGGCUAUCUCUCUCUCUCUCUAUUUUCUUAUUUUGGCGCGUAUCAGUUUGAUCACGGUUUUGCCUCUCGUUGUUCUGUCUUUUAGAGCUCGCUUUCGUAUUUGUGUGUGUGUGUGUGUGUUUGUGUAGAUGUGUGUAUAAGCAUGCCCCUUCUCGUGUCCUUCUCUCUAUGAUCAUGUUGCCCCUUACGCCACUUCCUGUUUCGCUCUCUUCUGCGCUUUUUGUUUUCCUGUUUUCGUUGCGUUCCCUAUGAUUUCGUCUUGUACUACUGUGUGUGUGUGUGUGUGUGUGUGUGUGCGUGUGUCUUUCGGAACGCGAAUCGUUUGUGAUACGCCUGCAAGUACGGCGCUGUAACAUAGUGCUUCUCCGGUCGCCUUCACCUCCCGCCCCCGGUACCCCAUUUUCGGAUUCUUCAUUCCAUUUUUUUUUCGUCUUUUGAGUGUUCCCCUUUGUGCAUGAAUGCGUGUUUCGUUUGUUUUCGGCGGGGGUGCGCCUCAUAUACGACGGACAUUAGUGUGUGCGUGUAUUCGCGCAUGCGAGUUCGCGAUCCAGUUAUACACGGUUGGCGUCUCUACGGCUCUCUCAACACCGCCGGCGGUACCUCCUUGUCAUCCUCACCGCUGUUUGGGAGGGAAAGACAGCGAGUCUGUGUGUGUGAGUGUGUCUGUUCGCAUGUGACGUGAGACGCACUAGUCCUUUGUUUUUUGCGCCCUCCCCUGGUUGGCAGUCUCGUCUUUCCCUGUCCCGUACGGCUCAUUGUAUGCACGUUUUUUUUUCUUCCUCGGCUUUUGUUUUUUUUUCGUGGUUGUCGCUGUUUUUCCCCCCUUGUCGCGCAAUAGAAAAGGGCUGUGCUGGCGACGGCGGUCUCACAGCAGGGUGUCGUUGCCUUUGCUCCCUCUCCCUUUCUAUGCAUCUCUCUUCCGAUCGCGGUACCUUUGACAUGGAGCGUGAAGCAAGGUGGUAUUCGUGUGUUUCAGCGCUCUAAUUUGCCUCCUGCAGCUUCUUGUGUUUUCGGGUUUCGCGUUGUUGAGACUACAGGAGCGUUUGCGCGCGCGUCUUGCGAAAGUGUCCUUGGCGUUUGGUUACACACUCGCCUCCCUCUCUCCUCUUCCCCCUCCUCUUCUCAGUCUUUCUCCGAGGCCCGCUUGACGCAAAGGGCCCUUCUCUCCCUCUCCGCACACCCUCCCAUGGCUCAGUCUCAUCCGCUGCUUCUCUCCUUCUUCGCUGUCGGAUCAUGCAUCGGCGCUCAGGUGGAGGUGCGCUUCACAUACCCGAAGCACACACACACACGCGCGUAGAAAGAAGAGCGACAAGUGAGCAGCACCAGCCAUGGAGAGAGGGCCAAGUAGGGCGCUGGAAACGCAGGCGAGUGAAACAGCGCAGCGGUAGCGGGGAGAGGUACGGCGCCGACGCUUACAGUCGAAAACGAUCCCUGCACCCCUUUUAUUGUUCGUUUUCGCUGCCGUUUGUGUGUGGGCGCAGUGCGAAGGGAGGGAGGCAUGAGGCAGCAAACAAAAAGUAUCCUCAAAGGCCCCUGACUACCGCAUAAGGAGCGACUGUAGCGCCGCUCGGGCCCUGUUGUGAUCUGCAUCGCUCGUCCGCAUAUGUGCACAUGGGGACGUGUGAGGGGGCCGACUCAAGGCCCAAAUUACACACACCGAUAUACUUACAAGGGGCUGCCGUGACCUGUUCCCGCUCCUUCUUUAUUCGUUUUCGAGUCAUCUUGCUCUUUUUCUACGAGUGCCUCGGUGUGUUUCACCUUUUUUUGUCUCUUGUCACUCUUUCUCUUCCCCCCUCCCUCCCGCGACGAUUGUGGGCACUGCAGCGCGGCAUCAGGGUCCAGUACCCACACACGCUCUGUGGGGUCGCCAACAGGCGGCGCAGGCUGCCCUCGGAGACGACGGACGGAGUCUUCCGUGUCAGCGGACAUCUCAGUGCGGAAGAGACCUGCGGUCGUGGCCAGGGCUCUACUAGGUCACUACAAAUCGUGUGGGCGAUUCGGCAAGUAUACGCAUCCACCUACUGUUUUUUUUUUCUGCUUUCGCUGCGUUGCGGUGAUGUCGAGCGUAAUCCUGGACUGCACGUGUGCCUUGCGCGGUGGGAUGGCAAUGGGCUGAACGACGCCAGACAGUGUUCGUCGGCCCGGCUGCUGGACAUGGCCGUGGUGCAACUGAGGUAGGAGAAGUGUGGUUGUGUUUGAGUAUAUUUUCGCGCUUGCCUGUGGUUGGAUGAUACGUUGAGAAGGAUUCCGUUGCGCCUUUUUUGCCCCAGACAUUUGCGUGCCUUGUGAGCGUCGUGCCGCCGUGGGUGAUGUUGCUGUCUGUAAAGCCGUUUUGUGACUUUUACUGCGGCUUUUCUGACCGGCGUACAUGAUUCAUCGUUGACAACCUCCUUCCCACGCGCAUCCCUGUUGGUGUGGGUGGAUGUUGAUCUUCUUUUGUUUGAGCCCUCGUCAUUAUUUUGUUUUUUUUUCACUUGUCUUCCCUCCUCCUCACCACUCCCGUCGAAAUGUCCUUUAGCGUUUCGCGUGUGCUUGUGUGUGUGUGUGUGUGUGUCUGUGUUUGUGUUUCAUUCUUGGUUUUGUGUGUACUCCCUCAUUUUUUUAUUUGUCUCUGCCCUCCCCCCUCUCGUCUUCCUUCCUUCUUCCGCUGUCUCUUUCUAUUCUUGUCGCUUUCCUCUGUUGCUCUUUUCUUUUCCUUCCCUCAUGUUUUGUUUCUUUUCCACCCCACCCUACCUCACAUCCUACACCCCCUCUUGCUCCCUCCCCAUUCCGCCGGAGCUCCCAUCAGACACAAGCUCCUUUCAUCGGCACUCCAUCUCCAUCCUCUCUCUCGCUUUCUUUGCGUAAUGUACGCUUCGGGCCUCCUGCUUCCCUUUAUUGUGGACCUUUACCACCUUUUGUUUUCCUGGGCAUCCUCUCGGGUGAAUGAGUUUCUUUUGCAUGUGUAUGGUGUAUGUGGGUGUUUUUGUGGGUGUCUGGAUCUCUCCUCCCCCCCCCUUCGUGCCGUUGUGUGCUUUCGAUGUUGUUGGGGUUUUCGAUGGCUGUGUGCGCGUGGGCGCUCCGUUUGGUCUUUUCGAUGUUCUCUCCCUUUUUACACGAUAAAUCUGCCCGCUUUUCCCUCCUCCUUUCUGGCCCAGUUGCUGGCGCCGUAAGUACGGCACCGAGGGGUGUCGAAGCCCCUCCAAGAACGAAAGACAUCUGAAAGCCUCAUCAGUAGUCUCAUGCUCUGUAUCCUUUCUAUGUUUUGCUGUUGUUCUCUAUCAUCCUCAUGUCUAGUAUGCCCUGCACUGUAGCCUUCUACCAGCUUCACCCUCUUGGUGUGUAUAACGAGGUAGAGCGUGAGUGCCGUGACGCCGAAAGACGUGCAUCGAAGACCCCUCGACGCCACUGCUCUUACUCUCCUUCGAGCACCACACCGUUCGCACAGCAGCAAUGGAGCUUAUCCCUCCCAGGAAAGCGGUGCUGUCCUUCUCCCAUGUCCUCUUUGUGUGUGCGUGCGUGUGUGGAGGAUUGUCCAUCUUGUGAUGGUGUGAGGCGGUGGGAACGUAGCACGAUUCUCAGAUGCCCCUGCCCGCUCUUUCUCUCAUUGAUGAGGGAGAUGAAAUGAGCCUUUCCAUCGCGCUCAUACGACAGCCACACACGACUUCCUUCUCCCCCCUGCUCCCUCCCCCCUUCUCGCGCUUUCGCUUUCACCAACACCACCAUCGCCGCUUUUUUCAAUCCCCAUUUCGUUGACGGGAG
rnacentral:misc_RNA from 1 species